AUCGCUGGAGGUGGGCGUGGUUGAUGUCGCCCCUUUUCAAUCCCAACCUACACAGAGAAAAUGAUUCAGUCAAAUAAACAUGAGAAUGGUUUAAAACGAAAACGUAUAGUAUUAGAAUUUUCAAAGCAACUUAUAAAUCUGAAAUACUUUUCAUCUGUUUGCAUUAUUUGUCGGAAAAAUUGUGUGCAGAUGAUUCAAGCUACAUUCAUACAUACAUAGCAAAAGAUGCGGAAAUAUGAUAUCGUUACGCCACUUAAUGAAAGGAACGUUGCUGAUACGGUACCCUUUUUUGAUUAGAGAAAAGCUUUGGAUCUAACCAGCGUUGAUCAAAAUUAUCAAGGCCCGUGGAGGAAAAGCCAGAAUAUGUACAUAUCUUUCAGUUAUUAAGCUUUGUAACUAAUUAAUACAUAUGUAAGUAUGUCUACAUAUGUACAUAUAUCAUUAAAUGUAUGACAAUGUAUAG